rnacentral:rRNA from 1 species
UACGUAGGGUGCGAGCGUUAAUCGGAAUUAUUGGGCGUAAAGCGCGCGCAGGUGGUUUCUUAAGUCUGAUGUGAAAGCCCACGGCUCAACCGUGGAGGGUCAUUGGAAACUGGGGGACUUGAGUGCAGGAGAGAAGAGUGGAAUUCCACGUGUAGCGGUGAAAUGCGUAGAGAUGUGGAGGAACACCGGUGGCGAAGGCGGCAUCCUGGACCGGCAUUGACGCUGAGGCGCGAAAGCGUGGGGAGCGAACAGG